CCGCGGGAUUAGAGUUUGAUCCUGGCUCAGAACGAACGUUGGCGGCGUGGAUUAGGCAUGCAAGUCGAACGAAUCCCUGGGGGCUUGCUCCCAGGGGGAAGUGGCGAAAGGGGCAGUAAUGUAUGGGUAACCUACCUUGGGGACCGGGAUAGCCUUCCUAACGGAUGGGUAAUACCGGGCGAUGUGGUUGAGAGGCAUCUCUUGACUAUGAGAUGAAUUUCGCCUCGGGAGGGGCUCAUAUCGUAUUAGCUAGUUGGUAGGGUAACGGCCUACCAAGGCGAAGAUGCGUAGCGGGUGUGAGAGCACGACCCGCGCCACUGGCACUGAGACACUGGCCAGACUCCUACGGGAGGCUGCAGUCGAGGAUCUUCGGCAAUGGGCGCAAGCCUGACCGAGCGACGCCGCGUGAGCGAUGAAGGCCUUCGGGUUGUAAAGCUCUUUAGUGGGGGAGAAAAGCGCAAGCUUGAUCUAUCCAAAGAAUAAGCACGGGCUAAGUUCGUGCCAGCAGCCGCGGUAAGACGAACCGUGCGAACGUUGUUCGGAAUCACUGGGCUUAAAGGGCGCGUAGGCGGCUUGCCAAGUCCGGGGUGAAAGCCUCCAGCUUAACUGGAGAAGUGCCUUGGAUACUGGCGAGCUCGAGGGAGGUAGGGGCAGAUGGAACUUCCGGUGGAGCGGUGAAAUGCGUUGAUAUCGGAAGGAACGCCGGUGGCGAAAGCGAUCUGCUGGACCUCUUCUGACGCUGAGGCGCGAAAGCCAGGGGAGAGAACGGGAUUAGAUACCCCGGUAUUCCUGGCCCUAAACGAUGGGUACUAGAUAGUGGACUUAACAUGGGUUCACUGUCGAAGCAAAAGUGAUAAGUACCCCGCCUGGGGAGUAUGGU
rnacentral:rRNA from 1 species